UCAGACGAUGCGUCAUGCAUAUCAAUAAGCGGAGGAAAAGAAACUAACAAGGAUUCCCUUAGUAACGGCGAGUGAAGCGGGAAGAGCUCAAAUUUGAAAUCUUCAAGGUUUUACCUUGACGAAUUGUAGUUUAAAGAAGUGUUUUCUGUUGAAGUUUUGGUAAAAGUUCUUUGGAAUAGGACAUCAUAGAGGGUGAGAAUCCCGUAUUUGACCAUUAUUUUCAGCUUUGUGAUACACUUUCAAAGAGUCGGAUUGUUUGGGAAUGCAGUCCAAAAUGGGUGGUAAAUUUCAUCUAAAGCUAAAUAUUGGCGAGAGACCGAUAGCGAACAAGUACCGUGAGGGAAAGAUGAAAAGAACUUUGAAAGGAGAGUUAAACAGUACGUGAAAUUGUCAAAAGGGAAGCGUUUGACACCAGUGUUGUUUUCUCGAAAAUCAAUUAAAAAUGGCUCGAUUUUGUAUUGCUGAGACCUUAAAAGUUCACUGUACAUUUUUCGUGUCUUUUUUAAUGCACUUUUCGUUUAACAAGUCAACAUCAGUUUCUUUUGUUGUAAAAAGGUCAUUGGAAGGUGGCUUUCUUUUCGGAGAAAGUGUUUAUAGCCUUUGACUCCUGCAAUCGGAGAGACUGAGGUCUGCAGCGUAGAUCCUUCGGGGUUAGAUACAUUUGUGCUAAGUUAUAGCUUUUUAUAGACAACUUGUUGACUAUGAUUAGUCUUGUAGCUUACUCGCUUAUGCUAUUUUACCUACGCUUAGGAUGUUGAGUCGUAGAGCACGCAG
rnacentral:rRNA from 1 species